ACCACAGAAAAAGGCACGUAAUUCAGCCUGUCCUGGACAUAAGCAGACAGGUGUUUUUCAGGAGAUGUCUUAUGAUGUAUCUUCCCUAUACCAAGCCAAGUAGGAGCAACUGUUCAUACUAAGACUGUUCCAUUGUAUUAAGAGACACAUGAACUGGAUCUAUGAUGCCUGAAAUAGUGGUUUGGCCCUAAAACUCACCUCCUGCCAUACCACUGGAAAUUCCUGCAACUUUUCUAUAUCUUUACUUUAAAGAUCAC
rnacentral:lncRNA from 14 species